UAGGGAAUCUUCCGCAAUGGGCGAAAGCCUGACGGAGCAACGCCGCGUGAGUGAAGAAGGUCUUCGGAUCGUAAAACUCUGUUAUUAGGGAAGAACAAAUGUGUAAGUAACUAUGCACGUCUUGACGGUACCUAAUCAGAAAGCCACGGCUAACUACGUGCCAGCAGCCGCGGUAAUACGUAGGUGGCAAGCGUUAUCCGGAAUUAUUGGGCGUAAAGCGCGCGUAGGCGGUUUUUUAAGUCUGAUGUGAAAGCCCACGGCUCAACCGGGGAGGGUCAUUGGAAACUGGAAAACUUGAGUGCAGAAGAGGAAAGUGGAAUUCCAUGUGUAGCGGUGAAAUGCGCAGAGAUAUGGAGGAACACCAGUGGCGAAGGCGACUUUCUGGUCUGUAACUGACGCUGAUGUGCGAAAGCGUGGGGAUCAAACA
rnacentral:rRNA from 1 species